GACGAACGCUGGCGGCGUGCCUAACACAUGCAAGUCGAGCGAGAUCCAUCCAGUGGCAACACUGGUGAAGAUCUAGCGGCGAACGGGUGAGUAACACGUGAGAAACCUGCCCCGGAGACCGGGAUAACCCGAGGAAACUCGGGCUAAUACCGGAUACCCCCACCGAACCGCAUGAUUUGGUGAGGAAAUGCUCCGACGCUCCGGGAGGGUCUCGCGGCCUAUCAGCUAGUUGGUGAGGUAACGGCUCACCAAGGCUAAGACGGGUAGCUGGUCUGAGAGGACGAUCAGCCACACUGGGACUGAGACACGGCCCAGACUCCUACGGGAGGCAGCAGUGGGGAAUCUUGCGCAAUGGGCGAAAGCCUGACGCAGCAACGCCGCGUGGGGGAUGAAGGCUCUCGGGUUGUAAACCCCUUUCAGGAGGGACGAAAAUGACGGUACCUCCAGAAGAAGCCCCGGCCAACUACGUGCCAGCAGCCGCCGUAAGAC
rnacentral:rRNA from 1 species